AACGCGAAGAACCUUACCAGCCCUUGACAUGUGACUCGCCGGUCUCAGAGAUGGGACCUUCGGUUCGGCCGGAGUCAGCACAGGUGCUGCAUGGCUGUCGUCAGCUCGUGUCGUGAGAUGUUGGGUUAAGUCCCGCAACGAGCGCAACCCUCGUCUCCAGUUGCCAUCAGGUUAUGCUGGGCACUUUGGAGAAACUGCCGGUGACAAGCCGGAGGAAGGUGGGGAUGACGUCAAGUCCUCAUGGCCCUUACGGGCUGGGCUACACACGUGCUACAAUGGCGGUGACAAUGGGAUGCGAAGGCGCGAGCCGGAGCCGAUCCUAAAAAACCGUCUCAGUUCGGAUUGCACUCUGCAACUCGAGUGCAUGAAGUUGGAAUCGCUAGUAAUCGAGGAUCAGCAUGCCUCGGUGAAUACGUUCCCGGGCCUUGUACACACCGCUAGUC
rnacentral:rRNA from 1 species